AUUAGGACCCUGAAAACAGCGAUCGCAGCACCACGUCCUACUGAACGGAGCGACGCACAAAACGUAAAGACAUUAGUUUCUUGCUCACGCUGCCCUUACAGUGAAAGUGAAUGGACACAGUCUAUGCAGCAAAGAUGCUGUUUAACCCCGAAAACGACACAUCACACAAAGUCACGACUGGUGUGCAACAUGUCACGUCACAGGAGAAAGUAAUAUAAUUUGGGCUUGGAUUGACAACUGUUGACAGAACGUUAUGGUGAACAAACCUCAACCCUAAGGAAAAUGAAUCACGGUUUAUCUGCGAUGGCACAGGCAGGCUUUGGGAGAAGAUACUUCAAAGCCUUUGUUAGCGGCUUUUUUGUAGCCGUCCCCAUGACGGUGUCUGUUUUAGAUUGUCUCGCCUAUGUGGCGCGCGUGGAUGGUGCCUCCAUGCAGCCGUCUUUGAAUCCAGAAGGAGGAUCAUCUUCUGACGUCGUGCUCCUCAAUCGCUGGAGUGUGAGAAACUAUCAGGUCCAGAGAGGAGAUAUUGUGUCCAUUCUGAGCCCCAAAAACCCUCAGCAGAAGAUCAUCAAAAGAGUCAUUGGCGUUGAAGGUGACUUCAUCAGGACUAUGGGAUAUAAAAACCGUUAUAUACGAGUUCCAGAUGGACAUCUGUGGAUUGAGGGGGAUCAUCACGGCCACAGUUUUGACAGCAACACCUUUGGACCGGCGAUUACAUUAUCACCCCCUUCAAAUCCUUCCAAACCCCACAGAUAUUUACAACACCUUCCAAAUGAAAGUUUUCAGGCGCUCGCCGGAAUCUCAUCCACAUCCCCCGGCUAUGAAAAGCAACGGGGUCUUUCACUCCUUAUGCUGGAAAUGUAUUGCUUUGUGUCCAGAAGAUGAAAACGAAAUCAUCUAGUUCUUGUUCCAGCAGGUCUUUUCACACGAGAACGUCAGGGUCUCACUUGGUCUGGUUCAUGGCCGGGCAUCUCACAUCAUUUGGCCACCCAGGCGGUGGCAACGGAUUGUACCGUCCGUCCCCGUUGACCGAAGACCGC